UUGAAGAAAAUAUGUAUAGUGUACUUAAAGUUCAAGAUAAAAUAAAAUUUUCUACUUUAUGUAUUCUUAUUAAUGACUUGAAUUUAAGCCGAAAUGUUUAUAAUGUAUUUCUUAUUGAAUACAGGUAAAUUUUCCUAAAACUAUGCUUGACUCUCAUUAUUUUCAUACAUAUUUCCUUCAAUUUUUAUCUCUAUUAAUCAUUUCAAUAGAUAUAGACUAAUUUUUGAAUAAAAAAUAUAUCAAUACAAGCCAAAAAUAUGUUAAUAAACAAUUGAAAAAGAAACAUAGUAUAGCUCAGAAGGCAAGAUUUUAAGCAUUUCAUUAUACAUAUGUAUAUGUAAUUAUACAUAUGUAUAUGUGUACGAAUUAAAUUCAUUGCUUAUAUAAUACUAUCUUCAACGCUUUGCAAUGUAGCGGCUUUAAAUUGAAUUAAAUUUAAUACCGAUUAUAUGAACCUCUUCUUUUAUCCCCUCAUAAGAAAUUCUGAUUGUGAAAAAUAUUAUUUCAACCAGAAAUCGAACCUGAAUCUUCCACUCUUAGACAUUUUAUUCUUUGACUACUAAAGCUUAAUUUUUGUAUGCAGAUCAAUGAGUGAUAUGUUUGGAGUUGAUAAAACAACUUGCUUUCGAGCAUUAAGGAGAAUCAUAUUUGCUCUUUUUCAAAUUGCACAUCAAUUUAUUCAAUGAUAAAAAGCUACCGAAGCUAUUGGACAAAAAGCUACCAAAGUAAUGAAUGAUUUUUAUAAAAUAAAUGGAUUAUUGGAGCUAUCGAUGGAACACUCAUCGAAAUAAAUAAACUGAAAAUGAUGAUGAUUAUAUUUGCCGUAAAGGAUACCUCGCUAUUCUUUAAAUAAACACAAAGUUUUAUACUAUAUAUAUGUUAAAUUUACAUAUUAUACAAGGCAUAUUUUAAGUAUGUUAUAACUUUAGCGGGCGAUUUUUUUAAUUAUUUAAAGUUUAAAAGCCUUAAUAAAUAUAAAUUUUAAAAUCAAUAGCUGAUGUAUAAAAUGUUCAAAUUUCUCCAAAAAAUCAUUUUCUUAAAUAUUCAAAUAUUCAAAUUAUCUAACAUAUAUUCAUAACAUUUGUGUGAGCGAUCUAUCUAAUGGAUUUAUAUCUAAUGGAUUUAUAGAUAUAAUGUAAAAUAUUUAAGUAAAUGUUUUUUUGAAAUUUCAACUUGUAUUUCAGGCAGUUUGCACUCAAAAACUAUUAUUUACAAGUGUAAGUAGGUCAUGCAGGAGUGUUAUGUAAUUCACAAAUAAAUGACUAUAUGGAGCAACCAGAUGUCUACUUUCCUGAUGAAAGUUACAUUGUAGGAGAUGUUGCAUAUCCUAUCCUAUUUAAAUUUAAUAGUGCUCUUUAAAAAUAAUGGCUAUCUUACUUGGAAAGACAUUAAUUCUUGUCUGGCAGCAGUUCGCAUAAUAAUUGAAAGAGCAUUUGGAAUAUUAAAAACAAGAGAAGAAUGUUUGAUAGAUUGUCAUUUGUAGAUUUAAAAAAAUUCCUGAAUAUAUAGUUGCUCCGUCACAAUAUUUGUAUUUUAAAUAAUGAUAUAAUAGAUGAUAUUGAAAAUAAUAUUGAAAAUCAAUGUCAUAAUACAUUUGAAUGCAUGCAAAAUGCAAAUAUUGAUGCUGUUAAAGCAAAACAUAAUAUGAUAAUGAACAAUUUACAAAUGCGAUUUUAGUUUAAAUUUGAGUUUUUAUAACAAUGUUUUAUAAGUUAUAAGUAUUUGAAGUAUUAUAAGUGUUAUAAAUUAUUUUAUAAUUUUUUAAAGACAUUCUAAUUACUCUCAUAAGUUCUUAUAAGUUCUCAAUUUCAACAUUUAUAAAUUUUUACAACGUAAUGUAAAACGGUUAUAUAAAUUUAAUAAUGCAUUUUGCAUUUGUUUAAUUAUGACAAUUUAUCAAUGAAGAAUUUUUUGUGAUCGUUUACUCCAAACAUAAAAUACAAUGUUUUGUAUUUAUUUUUUAAUUUUAAUAAUUUUUAAUAAAAAAAGAUAUUUUAAGUAAUAAGAUUGUACUUUCUUUACAUUGUGACGUGGUGCCAUUCCUACUAUGGGACGAGCUAUGUAAACGCAGCACAAUUGGCAUCAUACUCUCAGGCAAAACAAGCAUUGCUGGACACAGAAUAUUUUUUACAUAUAUUGCUAAUUGCAAUCAUGCCGAAAUAAAAACAAUAUAACCAUAAGUACCGGCGAGGAAUUUCGCAACACGUGAUACAGGAAACAUGAUACAGAACAAUCUUCAAGCAUAAAAACAACGAAAUGGCAUAUUCGGUCGAAAAUUGCGAUAGAUGUCUUCUAGUAAAUGGACGACGAAAUGAAUGCUAUCUCGGAAAUCGCAUUAGAUGAAAUUAUCCAACACAACAUACAAGAGGAAAUUAUAUCGGAAAUCUUACAGGAAGCAAUAAUCAGAGACAAAUUUAUAUCACUCGAAUAUGAUAAUAAUUCUUCAUCAGAAUCAGAUGAUGGACAUAAUGUACUUUAUUGAAGAAGCAAAAGACCUUAUACAGAAUGGCUAUAUUUAUAAAAAUAUUAACAGAAAAGUCAUUAUUGAUUGUUUUAUAUGUGAUGCUCCUGUAAAAGCGUAUAUUUGCUGCAUUAAAAGUCAUGGAGGAUAUUAUGCAUGUAGCAAGUGUAAAACCAAAAGCAUCUAUAAAAAAGGAAAAGUAAUAUAUCCAGAAUGAACGCUUCAUUACGAACAGCAGAAUCAUUUGCGAUGCAAUCUGAAGAGCAUCAUAUUGGAAUAAGUCCCUUAUUAAAUCUUAAUAUUGAUAUGGUUUCACAAGUGCCAUAUGAUCAUAUGCACUUAAUGAUAUUAGGCCAAGUAAAAAAAUGUUGAAAAUUUUGACUGGGAAACUAAAACUGAAAUUGAGUGCACAACAAGUUUUGGAAAUUUCCAAACAACAGCUCGAACUUAGAAAGUAUGUUCCGAAUGAUUUUGUCCAAAAACCAAGAGCUUUGGACGAGCUUGAUCGCAUGAAAGCUACUGAAUAUCGCGAAUUUCUGUUAUAUAUUGGACAAUCAUAUUGCACAAGAUAAUAAAGUAUACAAUCUGAUGUACAUAAUCAUUUUGUAAAACUAUCAGUGGCUAUACGUCUUCUAGCAACUCCUAAUAUUGAUGUCAAGCAAAAUAGAUAUUCGAAAGGUUUGUUAGAACAAACAAUAUUUUGCUGAGUUUCUGCGGUUGUAUGGAGUGCAUAAUGCAACAUAUAAUACGCAUGGAUUAUUACACUUGGCUGAUGAUGCAUUGCAGUGAGGAGCACUUGAUGAAUUUUCUGCAUUUAUUUUCGAAAACUAUUUAUAACACAUAAAAAAAUUGAUCAAAGGUAGUGAUAAACCUCUUGAGCAAUUAAGUAAUUAUUUACAUGAAAUCAGAAAUAGCUACUGUAAUGAAUCCGUCAAAGAUGCCAUUCAGACAUAUAAAUUAGGAAGAGAAUAUUAUGAUGGAAAUUUGAUUGAUGGAUGUACGUCGCCCAUGUACAAGAACAUUCAGUUCAAAAAUUUUAAAAUCACAAUAAAACGAUCAAAUAACUACUGUAUCAUGGCAGACGAAAGUGUUGUAAUGAUUGAAACUACUUGCCAUCGCAAUAAUUCCAUAGCAGUUAUUAGCAAAAUGUUAAAAAAUGGAAAACCAUUUUUUCAUAUACUAGCACUAGCGACAUGUUUUGACCAUCACAAAAAUAUUGUCGUCUUUCCAUUCAUCCAUGGACAAUAACUAUUUGCACAUAACUCCAAGCAUGUCUUCCACAUUUUAUAUCGUUCUCUUUAUUGAAGAGGACUUUAUGGAGGUUGUUCCUGAUUUUUGGACAUUUAAAUCAUCAGGGACACAUUAUUGCUCAUGGUCUCUAAAUAAGACUUUUCCGACGAAGUACGUAGCAAAUAGAAUUGUGCCAGAUGAGGAAUGGUCAUUCUACAAAUGCAGAAUACUCAUUCGUUUGGUGAUUAUAAAACAGCUCGGCGGCAUUUAGGACAAGCAGAAAUUACAUUUGAUUUCUCUAGUGUAUCAGAGGUUGCAGAUAAAAGAAUUCAUAAACCUAAUAGGAAAUAUGUUUCCGAUUCAUCCGAUACAUCUGAAGAUAACAGUACAAAA